UACGUAGGGCGCAAGCGUUAUCCGGAAUUAUUGGGCGUAAAGAGCUCGUAGGCGGUUUGUCGCGUCUGCCGUGAAAGUCCGGGGCUCAACUCCGGAUCUGCGGUGGGUACGGGCAGACUAGAGUGAUGUAGGGGAGACUGGAAUUCCUGGUGUAGCGGUGAAAUGCGCAGAUAUCAGGAGGAACACCGAUGGCGAAGGCAGGUCUCUGGGCAUUAACUGACGCUGAAGAGCGAAAGCAUGGGGAGCGAACAGG
rnacentral:rRNA from 1 species